CUGGCGGCGUGCCUAAACACAUGCAAGUCAACUUGACUGAAGGAGCAAUCUGACAGUAGAGUGGCGCAAGGGUGCGUAACGCGUAAGUAACUUGCCCAAGGUAAGGAAUAACGUCGAGAAAUCGGCGCUAAUACCUCAUAAUGCAGCGGAUCCGCAUGGAUAUGUUGUUAAAGGUUUACCGCCUUGGGAUAGGCUUGCGUCUGAUUAGCUAGUUGGUGUGGUAACGGCACACCAAGGCUACGAUCAGUAACUGGUCUGAGAGGAUGAUCAGUCACACUGGAACUGAGACACGGUCCAGACUCCUACGGGAGGCAGCAGUGAGGAAUAUUGGGCAAUGCUCGAAAGAGUGACCCAGCAACGCCGCGUGGAGGAUGAAGGUAUUCUAUAUCGUAAACUCCUGUGAGAGCAGACGAAAGACAGAUUAUUAAUCUGGAUGACUGUAUGCUCAGAGGAAGCCCCGGCUAACUACGUG
rnacentral:rRNA from 1 species